UUCUUCUUCUCUCCCCUUUCCCUUUCUCAUUCCUUUUUUAUGAGUUGCUAUAGCAUAUUUGAGAAAAAAAUAAAUAAAAAAAAUUAACCUAUUUGUUCACUAUACCAGUUUGUACAAACACUUACGCCUUUAUCAUUAUAGUGACUUUUUCUCUACAAAACCUUUUUCUAUGCUUCUGUGAUACACCCUUAUUCUAAAUUUACCCCUUAACUACCAUGUUAUAUUGUUUUAUCUUGUACCAAAUUAUACAUACUCUUAAUUAGUACUUCUUCUCCAUUUACCGAUAUCUAACUCUAUAGUGAAUAUAUUAACAUUUGUGAACUUUUCUUGUUUGAUAGUACAAUCUAUACUUAUACAAAUUUGUACAAACUCUUGAAAUUCAGAAAAGUUAUAGUGAUUAUUUCUCUACGCAAACCUUGUCUAUAUUUCAAUAAUAAAUUAUUUUUUCAAAUUGGUCAAAAUUUACCAGUGAAUAACCAUCU